rnacentral:rRNA from 1 species
UACGGAGGGGGCUAGCGUUGUUCGGAAUUACUGGGCGUAAAGCGCACGUAGGCGGCUUUGUAAGUUAGAGGUGAAAGCCCAGGGCUUAACCCUGGAAUUGCCUUUAAGACUGCAUCGCUAGAAUCGUGGAGAGGUGAGUGGAAUUCCGAGUGUAGAGGUGAAAUUCGUAGAUAUUCGGAAGAACACCAGUGGCGAAGGCGACUCACUGGCCCGGAACUGACGCUGAGGCGCGAAAGCUAGGGGAGCAAACAGG